UGAACGCUGGCGGCGUGCCUAAUACAUGCAAGUCGAGCGAACAGAUGAGGAGCUUGCUCCUCUGACGUUAGCGGCGGACGGGUGAGUAACACGUGGAUAACCUACCUAUAAGACUGGGAUAACUUCGGGAAACCGGAGCUAAUACCGGAUAAUAUAUUGAACCGCAUGGUUCAAUAGUGAAAGACGGUUUUGCUGUCACUUAUAGAUGGAUCCGCGCCGCAUUAGCUAGUUGGUAAGGUAACGGCUUACCAAGGCAACGAUGCGUAGCCGACCUGAGAGGGUGAUCGGCCACACUGGAACUGAGACACGGUCCAGACUCCUACGGGAAGCAGCAGUAGGGAAUCUUCCGCAAUGGGCGAAAGCCUGACGGAGCAACGCCGCGUGAGUGAUGAAGGUCUUCGGAUCGUAAAACUCUGUUAUUAGGGAAGAACAAAUGUGUAAGUAACUAUGCACGUCUUGACGGUACCUAAUCAGAAAGCCACGGCUAACUACGUG
rnacentral:rRNA from 1 species